AUUGAACGCUGGCGGCAGGCUUAACACAUGCAAGUCGAACGAGUGGCGGACGGGUGAGUAAUGCUUGGGCAUCUAGCUUAUGGAGGGGGAUAACUACGGGAAACUGUAGAUACUACCGCGUACCCUAGGAUUGGCCCAAGUGGGUUUAGGUAGUUGGUGAGGUAAAGGCUCACCAAGCCGACGAUCUCUAGCUGGUCUGAGAGGAUGACCAGGCACACUGGGACGGAGACACGGCCCAGACUCCUACGGGAGGCAGCAGUGGGGAAUAUUGCGCAAUUGGGGCAACCUGACUGAGCCAUGCCGCGUGAAUGAAGAAGGACUUCGGGUUGUAAAGUUCUUUCGUUAGCGAGGCGUUAACUACAGAAGAAGCACCGGCUAACUCCGUGCCAGCAGCCGCGGUAAUAC
rnacentral:rRNA from 1 species